ACAAACAAACACAUGAAAUCCUUCAUUUUGAUAGGUUAAUUUGAACUAACUGCGUGUUGAUUGGUUAAUCUUCUCCACACUAUGUUUUCUAUAAUGUCAAUGCAUACAUGGCGAUAUGUUUUUUUUUUUUUUUUAAAUAAAUGUUGAUGUCAAUUUUUUUUAUUAUGGAGCUCAACUGUUGCCAAUUAUGUGUGGAUUUUAAUUUAGAUGUGUUUGAAAUGUGUGUACGUUCUUUAAUAAUGCUUUGCGAGUCUGUUUAAAAAAAAAAAAGGUAGCUCUGGUUAACUUAGAGACUGUGCCAAACAAAAAAAAUAUAUUUUUCAAAAUGUGCUUAAUGGUCUGUUACCUAGUUGUGCUGACAGUGGAUUUGUUUUACUUUGUCCCAUAAGAAGUCAUUAAUGAAAAUAGAUUGUCUUGACUUGGCAAAAUAACUCUACUUACAUAGACAUUGCUUGGCGGAACCGAGGAAAGUCACCCAGUAGCUAUGAGUAAUGAGUAUCACCUAUGUGUAACAGCAUUAUGUCUUAAGUGGACACCAAACUAUUUUCUCUGACUAGUUAGUUAAUAUUGUGUGCUUUUGGAUAUUAAAAGAGUACAAAGGGCAGCAACCAGUAUAUUUGAAAUUUUCGCAAAAUUCUGUAGUUACGUACGUUUCGAAAAAUUUUCCUUGACAUAAGUCUAUCACAUAGGUCACACACACACCCACAAAAUAAACAAUAGUGGUAUUCAUUAUUGGUGUAAUCACGAACACUGUGAUAUCUACGUGACCUAAUUAGAUAUAGAUGCUUACCAUAAAGUGGGCAUAUAAAAGAUUAUGCAUUAUACGCUAUAUCGGAGUAAUAUAUCAUUAACAAAAAGUAUCCCUAUUCGUCACGUGUACGUAGGGCUGAUAUCAAGCAGACAAUGAUUUUAUCCUUGCAUAUAUAAACGAAUAUUUAAGCAUCAAACCUUUAAAAAUGUUUUAGUUUUGCAUUUUGAAAUUGAAGGAAACAUCUUUAUUUUUAUUUUUGGACGACCAAAUAAAAUACUUCUAUGUGUUAUGAUUUUUUUUUUUUAAAAAAAAAGGUAAAUUUUUACACAUUUGGCAUGUAGGUCAUAAAAAUAGAAAAUUGCUCCGUAUGUUUGUGUGCGUAUUUUUAAUAUGUAUACAUUUGCUUGAUAUAAAUUGUAAAAAGAACUGGUGACAUCUUUUCCUCUGAUGCAAACUUCUGGAAAGAUUGUUCCUUUGUUAGUACGAAAGUUUUAAGUAAACAAAACAAAAUGUUUUUGUAGUCUCCUUACGUGAUACCUAUUUACAUAAAUAAUUUUUUUACAUUUAUUAUCUUUGAAAAUAGUUAUCUAAACGCUAGAUGUUUGAAUGAGUUUAUGUUCGAAAUUUUUCCUAAUUUCACACAUUUUUGAUAAAGAAUUAACCACUAAAAGUGUCUUUUAUCUGUCGAAAUGAAGAAAAUUUUUGAGAAAAAUGAAAAAGAGUCAUAGAUGCAUUCAAGAAAUAUGAUAAUUGAAUGUAAAAUUCAGUUUGCCAAUUAUAUCUGAACACUUUAAUUCUGCAGUGUAUUAAAGAAUGAAAGAUUACUUAGGUUUCAAAUAUGAUUGCAAUAGUUUUGUCAUUUGUAAAAUUUUAAAAUGCUGUUUAAAAAACGCCAUAUUUGUAUGUUCAGACUUUUAAUGUUUUGUUUUG